rnacentral:tRNA from 1 species
GGCAGUAUAGCUCAGUGGUAGAGUGUGUGCUUAGCAUGCAUGAGGUCCUGGGUUCAAUCCCCAGUACCUCCA